UUUCCUGCAAUACCGUCAUGAGCGUACUCUAUGAUUCCUUAGACAAAUAAUAAUUUAAUUGCAUUAUAGAAUCAUAAUCUAUGCUCGUGUCAGGUGUUAAAUUAAUAAUUAUUAUGAUUAAUGAACAAUAUUAUAAUUAGUACUUUGAUACUUAGGUCCUGUAACAGGAACAGCAUGCUUCAUAACAUUUGCUCAAAUGUGAAUUGGGUGUACGAACAGCAAAACCCAAAAGGUGAAGGAUGAAAUAGCAACAGAUGACUUUAAGCCAAACUGUGCACUUGUUGUGCUUGACUUUUUGAUUCGUAAUGGAUUUGUGUCACCAGAUAAUGGUAAAUACAUAUAGUUUUUUGACUGUA